UACGUAGGGGGCAAGCGUUGUCCGGAAUCAUUGGGCGUAAAGAGCGUGUAGGCGGUCCGAUAAGUCCGCUCUGAAAGCCCGGGGCUCAACCCCGGGAGGCGGGCGGAUACUGUCGGGCUAGAGUCCGGAAGAGGCAAGUGGAAUUCCUGGUGUAGCGGUGAAAUGCUUAGAUAUGACAUAGAACACCAAUUGCGAAGGCAGCUUACUACACAGUGAUUGACACUGAGGCACGAAAAGCGUGGGGAUCAAACAGG
rnacentral:rRNA from 1 species